CGUCCCUUGAAUUACACACUGAAAAGUCACUUUAACUAUCAUGAUUAAAUGUUAUGAUGAAUAUCUGAGGGUGGUAAAGGGUUAAUUUCGUGCAACAUUUUUGGCCUUUUUAUGUCACCUGUUUUCAUGUUUUAAUGUUUCAUCUGUGUUAGGCUUGAGGUGCAUGCUUCAUGUUUCCCUUUAUUUGUUUUCCGUGUUUUGUGUCGGUAAUCUCAAUUUCUCCUGCUUGUCCCACAUUUAAUUAAAAAGUAAACUGGGACUUAAUUCAAAAGUCAGUCCAGAGAUUGUUUUAAAUCAUAUCUUCCCAGGAUAUAAAUUGCUAUCAAAUUAUGAAUAAUUAUAUAUUUUUUUUUAAAAUUGACUAUUGGACACUAAAAGGUGACCACAGAGUCUUUGUGUCCAUUAUAAUGACUGCAGGAUCUCCAAAAACUGCUAAGUAAUAAAUUCUAGUACUUUUUUCCCUAAUAUUUACAGUUUUAUCUCUCAUGCUUUGUUUUUCCCCGAUUUUUAUUUUCCGUGCUACGAUUUUUUUUGAUUUUUUUUUCACAUAUUUCUGUAUUUAGAACCCCCUUUACCUGACAAAUUAGUGGUUGUAACUAUAUAGAUAUCAAAUAAACUUCACAUUAUCAAUGAUCCAUGACAAUGAGGUCAAUGUCAGAUGAACCCCAAUAGACAUACUUGUACACCAUACAAAACUAUUGAUUAGAGUAUUUGAGAAACGUACUUUGACAUGAAAAGCUA
rnacentral:lncRNA from 1 species